rnacentral:lncRNA from 1 species
AUUGUUGGUGUCGAAGCGAUAAAAAGUUAGGCAAGAACGGACGUCAAACGAAGAAGUUAUGAAUUUAUAACGAAGUUUUUCUGUCGCGGCCUAUUAAAAAUAAUUAAUAAAAAUAAAGUCAAAAUUAGCCGACGGAGUCUAAACGAAAGUCGUAGAGCAUGGUCUCACCUUUCCGUGGAUAUAAAGAACGUCGAAAAUGGAGUUCGUAUGAAGAAGUUAUGAAUUUCCGAAGUUUAUUAAUCAUUUUGUAUUUAUAUUUAAAUCAAAAUUCGGAAGCAUUAUCCGAAGGAGUCACCGAUCUGAUCCGAGGUACGCCCCGCGUACUCGAGUACGCCCCGCGUACUCCGAGGGAUGUCGACACUCGCACUCGAGCACUUCGGAUACGUAAGCAAUGACGUUUUGGGCAGUACGCCCCGCGUAACGCAGUACGCCCCGCGUACUCCGAGGCUCCAGCCUCCUAUAAAUAGGAUGCGAGGGUUCCGGGUAUUUUUGCCAAUUCCCUCUCGUUUUCGUGUCGAAGCUCUGUGCAAAAACCCCCGAAGCUACCCCGAAGUCCCGGUAUCAUACUCUAGCCCCGAGGCAAGUCCCGAGAUCCCGAAGAUCCCGAAAAGUGCGGUUCCCGAGUCGAAGCUCUGCCCGCGAGAAGUUCGAUUUUCGAGAAGAUCUUCCAGAUCUGCUGUGGAUUACUACUUCUAUAAGCCGUAGUGCUGUCCGAUCAUCUUCUGAUCAAGUGAGUGUGUAGUUAUUUCUUCUAAUACAAUAAUACGAAGUAUUUUAUAUAAAAAUACGUGCUAUGUGUAUAUAUUUGGUUGUGUUAUGUGUGAAUGAGUAUUCACUCUCUUCUAUCUUAUAGAUCUGCUUAUUUCUUUAUGAGAUAUGUGUUAUGUGUGUGUGUGCCUCAUCUGUUAUGUGAUAUAUGUGUUGAUUAAAGCAUGCUAUACAGGUUUUCUUUAAACUAUGUAUACAAAUGUAUAUUUUUAUCUACUAAUAUGUUGGGUAGAACAUGGGUAGACAGUUGGUGUGUAAUAAACAGAUGAGAGGCCUCGUUGUUGUUUGAUUGAGUCAUCUAGCGGAGUUUAGAUGACGACCACUGGCUAUUCUAGACAGUCUUGUGGAAACAUUAGCAGGUUCGCCACCUGUAGGUGUUAAUGAACUUGGGUGUUCAUUCGCUGUACUCCAUCCCCCUCAUGGUUGCCUUAUUUGACUUAUAUUGCUGAGGUACCCCCGAAGCAUGUGUUGUCGCCCCGAUGAAAUAUUCUUAGACUAGGUCCCUUAUGUUAGUUGUUUUAGGGACAUUAAAGUGAGAAUAACGGGAAUGGGUAAUUGGGUUAUUGUUGGUUGGUGAAAAUUAAAUAUGAUAUUUAUUGUGGGUUGAAAACCCUAUAUGCUCACCAGGCUCCCAAGCCUGACCCACUCAGUUUUAAAUUGUAUUACAGGUAGUGGCGGAAGGGCAUGAGAUGGAUGAACCAUCAAGUUGUUUUGUUUACAAGUCUGCAUAUGUUUAUAUUUGUUAUAUGACUUGUAAUGUAUUCGUUUAUGCUUAUUGGUCUGUAUCGGAACAUGACACCCCGAGUUUUGAUUAUAAUGAAAAUACAUUUCUUUUAUGAAAUGCUUCGGUAAACAAUGUUUUAUCAUGUUUUGUUUUUGGGAACAAAUUCCGCAACUCUUUCAAAUCAAAAGGAUUUACUCUGAAAAUAUUUAAAAGCAUAAAUGAAAAUCGGUCUUUUCUGGCCGAGAUUUUGGGGAUGUCACAGUUGGUAUCAGAGCAUUAGUUUAAGCGAACUAGGAAUUUGUAGGAUUUCUAGACUUAAACUUAGAAUGCUAAGUGAAGUUUUGAGAUGUGUGUCUGUUGUGUUUUAGACACGAGCACUAGUUUAUUUUAGGAAAGUUGCCUAAAAUGCUUUAUGUGCUAAAUGUUAUAUGUUGCCAUAUAUGAUAUUAUUUGUUCGGAUCUAUGGUCUGUUGCCGACCGGAUCUAGAAACCUUAUGUGUGUAGGAUUCUAAGCGUACGUCUACGAUAUUAGAACUAGCAUGUAAACGUUUCGGAGUGAUAAGGAUGAUUUGAAUAUCUAUCAUGAUUGAGGAUCUAAUUUCACCUUAUUCGGGGUGUAGAUCAAAAUGGUGAGAACAAGAAGUGGAGUUGGAAAUGCUGACGAAAACAGGAAUCAACCACCAGUGAUUGAGCCAAUACCUGUCGUAGCAGCAGCACCUGAGCCAAUAACCAUGGCUGGUGUGCAAUUGAUGAUUCAGACGAUGUUGGAUCGUCAGAUGGAUGAAACUAGACGGUUGCUUCAACAAAAUCGUGAAGAACUGUCGAUUCGUGUGGAAGAGCCUGAAUUAAAUGAAGGGCACUCGGAAGGUGGAAACUUCAGUGGGUCUGUUGGUCCAGCCAACCCACCGAUAGUUAGGCAAGAUAACCAUGAAGGAAGGAAUGAUGGAAUGGGAUGCAAGUACAAGGACUUUUUGACUUGCAAACCAUCGACCUUCAAUGGAAAGGAGGAUCCGAUUGGGGUUAUGGAUUGGAUCUCCGAAAUGGAGUUAGCCUUUAUGACAUGUGGCUGCAGAGGUAAGUUGCAGACUAUCUAUGCCGUGCGACAAUUCCGAGGUGGAGCCGUUCGUUGGUGGAACACUCUAGGGAAGACCUUAAGCCCUAAUGAGCCACUGCAAUUGUCAUGGGCAGAGUUCUUGGUGCAGUUCAAGCGCAAGUUCUGCUCGGCUCAAAAUCUGUUGGAGUUGGAGAAUAAGUUUUUGACAUUGACGAAGGGUAGCAUGUCAGUUGAUGAAUACACCAAUAACUUCACCGAUAAGAUGGAGUUUGCCUUGCGUAUCGUUCCAGACGAGCUGACAAAGGUGGAUCGGUAUGCGAAGGGACUUCCAUGGGAGUACGAGGUGCCGGUACGUCAGGCACUUACUCUAGAGGCAGCUAUCUGGGCUGCCAAGUCUGUGGAGAACAUGAUCAAGGGGAGAACCACCGUCAAGGUUGAGGUUGGUGAGAAAAGGAAGUUUGAAGGAACAUCUGGUUCCAGUAAGAAGAGCAAAUUUUCGAAAUCUGAUUCGAAAAAGUUUGGAGGAAAAGGAGGCGAAGCAAAGUGGUGUGAUAAGUGUAAGAAAAAGCACUUUGGGAAAUGUAGCGAGGAUGUGACCUGCUACAAGUGUGGAAAGGUUGGACAUUUUGCCAAUGAAUGUCCGAACAACAAAAGGAUGUGUUUUGGUUGUAAUGAAGAGGGGCAUAUUUUGAAAGACUGUCCGAAGAAGAAGGAGGCAGCUAGGCCCAACAUUCCACCAAAGCCGAAGGCGAGAGCCUUCCAGAUGACACUUGAGGCUGCGAAAGAUGAAGCUGAUGUCGCUUCAGGUACCUUUCUCGUAAACGAAUUACCUGCUCAUAUAUUGUUUGAUUCUGGAGCCAACUACUCCUUUAUUUCGCAUGAGUUUGGUAGAAAGCUAGCUUUGCCUGUUGAUAGACUAAAUAAUGCUUUAUUAGUCGAAGUAGCUAGUGGCAAGUUUGUACCUGUUAGCCAUCGUAUGAAAAACGUCUUGAUCGACCUUAAUGGGAAUAAGUUUCUCGAGGAAUUAUUGCCUAUCGAACUAAAUGGUUUCGACAUCGUCUUGGGAAUGGAUUGGCUUAGCGCCAAUGAUGCCGAAAUUUUGUGCAAGAAGAAGAUAGUUAAAGUAAACCCGCCUGGAAAAGAUUCGUUUAUGGUGUAUGGGGACAAACGCAGAGUGAAUUCUGGAAUCAUUUCUCUAAUGAAAGCCAGAAAGUGUUUGACCAAGGGAUGUACAUCAUAUUUAGCAUUCGUGAUUGAUGCUAAGAAAGAAAAGAAGGUGAUGCAGAGCAUUCCAGUGGUGUGUGAUUAUCCGGAAGUAUUUCCCGAGGAUCUUCCUGGAUUACCACCUGAUAGACAAGUGGAGUUCAGAAUAGACUUGUUACCAGGAACCACGCCAAUAGCAAAAGCACCUUAUCGAUUAGCACCGACGGAGAUGAAGGAGCUAAUGAUGCAACUUCAGGAGUUAUUGGACAAAGGUUUCAUUAGACCUAGUUCAUCGCCCUGGGGAGCUCCGGUGUUAUUUGUAAAGAAGAAAGAUGGAAGUAUGAGAAUGUGCAUCGAUUACAGAGAGCUGAACAAGGCAACAAUAAAGAAUAGAUAUCCGUUGCCGAGGAUUGAUGACCUGUUUGAUCAAUUGCAAGGUUCGAGCUAUUUCUCGAAGAUCGAUCUUAGGUCAGGAUAUCAUCAGCUGAAAGUAAGAGAGCAAGAUAUCGAGAAGACUGCAUUCAGAACUAGAUAUGGACACUACGAGUUCUUGGUUAUGUCGUUUGGACUAACCAAUGCUCCAGCAGCGUUCAUGGAUUUGAUGAAUAGGGUUUGUAAUCCUUUCCUUGAUAAAUCCGUGAUAGUGUUCAUAGACGACAUUCUGAUCUACUCGAAAAGCCAGGAGGAGCAUGGCAGACACUUGCGAGAAGUGUUAGAAGUUUUGAAGAAGGAGAAGCUUUAUGCGAAGUUCUCCAAAUGUGAUUUUUGGAUUCGUGAAGUCCAAUUCUUGGGUCACGUGGUCAACCAAGAAGGGAUAAUGGUUGAUCCAGCGAAGAUCGAAGCUGUGACGAAGUGGGAACAACCGAAAAGUCCCACGGAGAUUCGAAGCUUUUUAGGAUUAGCCGGAUAUUACCGAAGGUUUAUCCAAGGCUUUUCUUCGAUUGCUACUCCAUUAACAGCUUUGACCCACAAAGGAGCUACUUAUGCUUGGAGUGAGAAGCAUAAAGAAGCAUUCGAGAAGUUAAAGAAGAAGCUAUGCGAGGCACCGAUACUUUCUCUACCCGAUGGAGUUGAAGACUUCGCUGUUUAUAGCGAUGCGUCUGGUGUUGGAUUGGGUUGUGUUUUGACCCAAAGAGAAAAGGUGAUAGCAUAUGCGUCUCGACAGCUGAAAGAGCAUGAAAAGAAUUACCCGACUCAUGAUUUGGAGUUGGCAGCGGUAGUUUUCGCUCUGAAAAUAUGGAGGCAUUACCUCUAUGGCACGAAGUGCAAACUUUUCACUGAUCAUAAGAGUCUCCAAUACCUCUUUAAUCAGAAAGAAUUGAAUAUGAGGCAACGACGCUGGCUAGAAUUACUUAAAGACUACGACUGCGAGAUACUUUACCACCCCGGUAAAGCUAAUGUUGUUGCUGAUGCUCUCAGUCGGAAGGUCAAUCUUGAAAGGAAGAGGCCAAGAGCGUUGAGAAUUGAAGUUGUCUCGACCAUUGUGGAAAGUAUAAAGAAAGCUCAAGAGGAAGCUUCUGAGAAAAAUGACCGAAAGGAGGAACGUUUGGGUAAAACGUUGGUGUUUGGUACUAACGGUCAUGGACUGAAGGUAUUCCAAGAUCGUAUUUGGGUACCUAAGUCAGGAGGAAUUAGAGAUCUUCUGAUGGAAGAAGCUCACAAGACCAUGUACUCGAUUCAUCCGGGUAGCACUAAAAUGUAUAGGGACCUGAAACCCUACUACUGGUGGCCGACGAUGAAGCUUGAUGUUGCAAAGUAUGUGGCCGAGUGUGUGACUUGUGCGAGAGUCAAGACACAACAUCAGAAACCGUACGGGAGUUUAGAACCUUUGCCUGUGCCUAUGGGUAAGUGGGAAGACAUUGCUAUGGAUUUUGUCACUAAACUGCCCAGAACAAAGAAUGGUCACGACAUGAUUUGGGUGGUCGUUGAUCGAUUCACUAAGAGUGCGCAUUUCAUAGCGGCCAGGGAGAAAUGGUCUAUGGAAAAGCUUGCGAAUUCUUACGUGAAGGAAAUUGUGAGGCUUCACGGUGUUCCGUUAACGAUUGUAUCGGAUCGUGAUAGCCGUUUCACCUCAAGGUUUUGGAAAAGUCUACAAGAGGAAAUGGGUACCAAGUUAUGUUUAAGCACAGCUUACCAUCCGCAGACUGAUGGUCAGAGUGAAAGAACAAUACAAACACUUGAAGAUAUGCUGAGAGCAUGUACCUUGGAAUUCCUAGGUAAUUGGGAUGAACAUUUACCGUUGGUAGAAUUUUCCUAUAAUAAUAGUUUUCACUCGAGCAUUAAGAUGGCACCUUAUCAAGCUUUGUAUGGACAGAAGUGUCGUACGCCGUCUUGUUGGCUUGAGGCUGGGGAAAAGCAGUUUAUGGGACCGGAGUUGGUUCAUCAAACUGCUGAAAAGUUGAAAAUAAUUAGGGAAAGAAUGUUAGCAGCUCAAGAUCGUCAAAAGAGCUAUGCUGACAAGAAGCGAAGACCGAUGACUUUUGAGGUUGGAGAUUCGGUUUUGCUUAAAGUCUCGCCGUGGAAGGGACUUAUAAGAUUUGGUAAAAGGGGAAAGUUGAGUCCAAGGUUUAUUGGACCGUUUAGAGUCCUUCAGAGGAUUGGGAAUCAAGCUUACAAGCUCGAAUUACCCGAAGAACUGAAUGGAAUUCACAACACCUUUCAUGUGUGUUAUUUGAGGAAGUUCACGGGAGAAGUUCCCGAUAUAAUUCCAAUUUCUGAAUUGAGAAUUGAUGAGAACAAAAGGUUGAUUGAAGAACCAGAGGCAAUUGUUGACCGAAAGACUAAGAAGUUGCGACGCAAAAUGGUUGGGUUAGUGCUUGUCCGAUGGAAACACACGAAUGGGCCGAAUCUCACCUGGGAGACGGAGAGUGACAUGUUGAGUCGCUAUCCGCAUUUGUUUGUUGAUGUGUGAUUCCGGGGACGGAAUCAUUCUAAGGUGGAGAGAAUUGUAACGCCUGUGUUUCGGGCUUGCCAUUUGUAGCAAUGUAAUAGUCUAGGUUAACCUCUGUAACCCGUUUUGAAAUAAUAAGAUUGUAUUAUUUGAGUAUUGUGUGUUUUGUGCUUAAUUGCUUAAUUAUGUGGUUUGAUUAAUUAAGAAUAAAAAUAAGCGUCAAAAUUUAAGUGUAAAAUAAACUUAAUAUAUUUGGUUAAUGUUGUAGUAGUUGAAACGAGGUUUCCGAAUAUAUAUAGAACGCCCAAAUCUGACUUCGUAUGAGGAAGUUAUGAUUUAUCGAAGUUCCGGCUUAGCGAUAUACAGCCUGUUUUACUCGAUUUGAGAUCGAGCGGUUGUUAGCCGAAGCAAUCUAAAUGAGAAUCGAAGAUCUCAUUGUUGGUAUUGAAACGAUAAAAAGUUAGGCGAGAACGGACGUCAAACGAAGAAGUUAUGAAUUUAUAACGAAAGUUUCUGUCCCGGCCUAUUAAAAAUAAUUAAUAAAAAUAAAGUCAAAAUUAGCCGACGGAGUCUAAACGAAAGUCGUAGAGCGUGGUCUCACCUUCGCGUGGAUAUAAAGAACGUCGAAAACGGAGUUCGUAUGAAGAAGUUAUGAAUUUCCGAAGUUUAUUAAUCAUUUUGUAUUUAUAUUUAAAUCAAAAUUCGGAAGCAUUAUCCGAAGGAGUCACCGAUCUGAUCCGAGGUACGCCCCGCGUACUCGAGUACGCCCCGCGUACUCCGAGGGAUGUCGACACUCGCACUCGAGCACUUCGGAUACGUAAGCAAUGACGUUUUGGGCAGUACGCCCCGCGUAACGCAGUACGCCCCGCGUACUCCGAGGCUCCAGCCUCCUAUAAAUAGGAUGCGAGGGUUCCGGGUAUUUUUGCCAAUUCCCUCUCGUUUUCGUGUCGAAGCUCUGUGCAAAAACCCCCGAAGCUACCCCGAAGUCCCGGUAUCAUACUCUAGCCCCGAGGCAAGUCCCGAGAUCCCGAAGAUCCCGAAAAGUGCGGUUCCCGAGUCGAAGCUCUGCCCGCGAGAAGUUCGAUUUUCGAGAAGAUCUUCCAGAUCUGCUGUGGAUUACUACUUCUAUAAGCCGUAGUGCUGUCCGAUCAUCUUCUGAUCAAGUGAGUGUGUAGUUAUUUCUUCUAAUACAAUAAUACGAAGUAUUUUAUAUAAAAAUACGUGCUAUGUGUAUAUAUUUGGUUGUGUUAUGUGUGAAUGAGUAUUCACUCUCUUCUAUCUUAUAGAUCUGCUUAUUUCUUUAUGAGAUAUGUGUUAUGUGUGUGUGUGCCUCAUCUGUUAUGUGAUAUAUGUGUUGAUUAAAGCAUGCUAUACAGGUUUUCUUUAAACUAUGUAUACAAAUGUAUAUUUUUAUCUACUAAUAUGUUGGGUAGAACAUGGGUAGACAGUUGGUGUGUAAUAAACAGAUGAGAGGCCUCGUUGUUGUUUGAUUGAGUCAUCUAGCGGAGUUUAGAUGACGACCACUGGCUAUUCUAGACAGUCUUGUGGAAACAUUAGCAGGUUCGCCACCUGUAGGUGUUAAUGAACUUGGGUGUUCAUUCGCUGUACUCCAUCCCCCUCAUGGUUGCCUUAUUUGACUUAUAUUGCUGAGGUACCCCCGAAGCAUGUGUUGUCGCCCCGAUGAAAUAUUCUUAGACUAGGUCCCUUAUGUUAGUUGUUUUAGGGACAUUAAAGUGAGAAUAACGGGAAUGGGUAAUUGGGUUAUUGUUGGUUGGUGAAAAUUAAAUAUGAUAUUUAUUGUGGGUUGAAAACCCUAUAUGCUCACCAGGCUCCCAAGCCUGACCCACUCAGUUUUAAAUUGUAUUACAGGUAGUGGCGGAAGGGCAUGAGAUGGAUGAACCAUCAAGUUGUUUUGUUUACAAGUCUGCAUAUGUUUAUAUUUGUUAUAUGACUUGUAAUGUAUUCGUUUAUGCUUAUUGGUCUGUAUCGGAACAUGACACCCCGAGUUUUGAUUAUAAUGAAAAUACAUUUCUUUUAUGAAAUGCUUCGGUAAACAAUGUUUUAUCAUGUUUUGUUUUUGGGAACAAAUUCCGCAACUCUUUCAAAUCAAAAGGAUUUACUCUGAAAAUAUUUAAAAGCAUAAAUGAAAAUCGGUCUUUUCUGGCCGAGAUUUUGGGGAUGUCACAGUUGGUAUCAGAGCAUUAGUUUAAGCGAACUAGGAAUUUGUAGGAUUUCUAGACUUAAACUUAGAAUGCUAAGUGAAGUUUUGAGAUGUGUGUCUGUUGUGUUUUAGACACGAGCACUAGUUUAUUUUAGGAAAGUUGCCUAAAAUGCUUUAUGUGCUAAAUGUUAUAUGUUGCCAUAUAUGAUAUUAUUUGUUCGGAUCUAUGGUCUGUUGCCGACCGGAUCUAGAAACCUUAUGUGUGUAGGAUUCUAAGCGUACGUCUACGAUAUUAGAACUAGCAUGUAAACGUUUCGGAGUGAUAAGGAUGAUUUGAAUAUCUAUCAUGAUUGAGGAUCUAAUUUCACCUUAUUCGGGGUGUAGAUCAAAAUGGUGAGAACAAGAAGUGGAGUUGGAAAUGCUGACGAAAACAGGAAUCAACCACCAGUGAUUGAGCCAAUACCUGUCGUAGCAGCAGCACCUGAGCCAAUAACCAUGGCUGGUGUGCAAUUGAUGAUUCAGACGAUGUUGGAUCGUCAGAUGGAUGAAACUAGACGGUUGCUUCAACAAAAUCGUGAAGAACUGUCGAUUCGUGUGGAAGAGCCUGAAUUAAAUGAAGGGCACUCGGAAGGUGGAAACUUCAGUGGGUCUGUUGGUCCAGCCAACCCACCGAUAGUUAGGCAAGAUAACCAUGAAGGAAGGAAUGAUGGAAUGGGAUGCAAGUACAAGGACUUUUUGACUUGCAAACCAUCGACCUUCAAUGGAAAGGAGGAUCCGAUUGGGGUUAUGGAUUGGAUCUCCGAAAUGGAGUUAGCCUUUAUGACAUGUGGCUGCAGAGGUAAGUUGCAGACUAUCUAUGCCGUGCGACAAUUCCGAGGUGGAGCCGUUCGUUGGUGGAACACUCUAGGGAAGACCUUAAGCCCUAAUGAGCCACUGCAAUUGUCAUGGGCAGAGUUCUUGGUGCAGUUCAAGCGCAAGUUCUGCUCGGCUCAAAAUCUGUUGGAGUUGGAGAAUAAGUUUUUGACAUUGACGAAGGGUAGCAUGUCAGUUGAUGAAUACACCAAUAACUUCACCGAUAAGAUGGAGUUUGCCUUGCGUAUCGUUCCAGACGAGCUGACAAAGGUGGAUCGGUAUGCGAAGGGACUUCCAUGGGAGUACGAGGUGCCGGUACGUCAGGCACUUACUCUAGAGGCAGCUAUCUGGGCUGCCAAGUCUGUGGAGAACAUGAUCAAGGGGAGAACCACCGUCAAGGUUGAGGUUGGUGAGAAAAGGAAGUUUGAAGGAACAUCUGGUUCCAGUAAGAAGAGCAAAUUUUCGAAAUCUGAUUCGAAAAAGUUUGGAGGAAAAGGAGGCGAAGCAAAGUGGUGUGAUAAGUGUAAGAAAAAGCACUUUGGGAAAUGUAGCGAGGAUGUGACCUGCUACAAGUGUGGAAAGGUUGGACAUUUUGCCAAUGAAUGUCCGAACAACAAAAGGAUGUGUUUUGGUUGUAAUGAAGAGGGGCAUAUUUUGAAAGACUGUCCGAAGAAGAAGGAGGCAGCUAGGCCCAACAUUCCACCAAAGCCGAAGGCGAGAGCCUUCCAGAUGACACUUGAGGCUGCGAAAGAUGAAGCUGAUGUCGCUUCAGGUACCUUUCUCGUAAACGAAUUACCUGCUCAUAUAUUGUUUGAUUCUGGAGCCAACUACUCCUUUAUUUCGCAUGAGUUUGGUAGAAAGCUAGCUUUGCCUGUUGAUAGACUAAAUAAUGCUUUAUUAGUCGAAGUAGCUAGUGGCAAGUUUGUACCUGUUAGCCAUCGUAUGAAAAACGUCUUGAUCGACCUUAAUGGGAAUAAGUUUCUCGAGGAAUUAUUGCCUAUCGAACUAAAUGGUUUCGACAUCGUCUUGGGAAUGGAUUGGCUUAGCGCCAAUGAUGCCGAAAUUUUGUGCAAGAAGAAGAUAGUUAAAGUAAACCCGCCUGGAAAAGAUUCGUUUAUGGUGUAUGGGGACAAACGCAGAGUGAAUUCUGGAAUCAUUUCUCUAAUGAAAGCCAGAAAGUGUUUGACCAAGGGAUGUACAUCAUAUUUAGCAUUCGUGAUUGAUGCUAAGAAAGAAAAGAAGGUGAUGCAGAGCAUUCCAGUGGUGUGUGAUUAUCCGGAAGUAUUUCCCGAGGAUCUUCCUGGAUUACCACCUGAUAGACAAGUGGAGUUCAGAAUAGACUUGUUACCAGGAACCACGCCAAUAGCAAAAGCACCUUAUCGAUUAGCACCGACGGAGAUGAAGGAGCUAAUGAUGCAACUUCAGGAGUUAUUGGACAAAGGUUUCAUUAGACCUAGUUCAUCGCCCUGGGGAGCUCCGGUGUUAUUUGUAAAGAAGAAAGAUGGAAGUAUGAGAAUGUGCAUCGAUUACAGAGAGCUGAACAAGGCAACAAUAAAGAAUAGAUAUCCGUUGCCGAGGAUUGAUGACCUGUUUGAUCAAUUGCAAGGUUCGAGCUAUUUCUCGAAGAUCGAUCUUAGGUCAGGAUAUCAUCAGCUGAAAGUAAGAGAGCAAGAUAUCGAGAAGACUGCAUUCAGAACUAGAUAUGGACACUACGAGUUCUUGGUUAUGUCGUUUGGACUAACCAAUGCUCCAGCAGCGUUCAUGGAUUUGAUGAAUAGGGUUUGUAAUCCUUUCCUUGAUAAAUCCGUGAUAGUGUUCAUAGACGACAUUCUGAUCUACUCGAAAAGCCAGGAGGAGCAUGGCAGACACUUGCGAGAAGUGUUAGAAGUUUUGAAGAAGGAGAAGCUUUAUGCGAAGUUCUCCAAAUGUGAUUUUUGGAUUCGUGAAGUCCAAUUCUUGGGUCACGUGGUCAACCAAGAAGGGAUAAUGGUUGAUCCAGCGAAGAUCGAAGCUGUGACGAAGUGGGAACAACCGAAAAGUCCCACGGAGAUUCGAAGCUUUUUAGGAUUAGCCGGAUAUUACCGAAGGUUUAUCCAAGGCUUUUCUUCGAUUGCUACUCCAUUAACAGCUUUGACCCACAAAGGAGCUACUUAUGCUUGGAGUGAGAAGCAUAAAGAAGCAUUCGAGAAGUUAAAGAAGAAGCUAUGCGAGGCACCGAUACUUUCUCUACCCGAUGGAGUUGAAGACUUCGCUGUUUAUAGCGAUGCGUCUGGUGUUGGAUUGGGUUGUGUUUUGACCCAAAGAGAAAAGGUGAUAGCAUAUGCGUCUCGACAGCUGAAAGAGCAUGAAAAGAAUUACCCGACUCAUGAUUUGGAGUUGGCAGCGGUAGUUUUCGCUCUGAAAAUAUGGAGGCAUUACCUCUAUGGCACGAAGUGCAAACUUUUCACUGAUCAUAAGAGUCUCCAAUACCUCUUUAAUCAGAAAGAAUUGAAUAUGAGGCAACGACGCUGGCUAGAAUUACUUAAAGACUACGACUGCGAGAUACUUUACCACCCCGGUAAAGCUAAUGUUGUUGCUGAUGCUCUCAGUCGGAAGGUCAAUCUUGAAAGGAAGAGGCCAAGAGCGUUGAGAAUUGAAGUUGUCUCGACCAUUGUGGAAAGUAUAAAGAAAGCUCAAGAGGAAGCUUCUGAGAAAAAUGACCGAAAGGAGGAACGUUUGGGUAAAACGUUGGUGUUUGGUACUAACGGUCAUGGACUGAAGGUAUUCCAAGAUCGUAUUUGGGUACCUAAGUCAGGAGGAAUUAGGGAUCUUCUGAUGGAAGAAGCUCACAAGACCAUGUACUCGAUUCAUCCGGGUAGCACUAAAAUGUAUAGGGACCUGAAACCCUACUACUGGUGGCCGACGAUGAAGCUUGAUGUUGCAAAGUAUGUGGCCGAGUGUGUGACUUGUGCGAGAGUCAAGACACAACAUCAGAAACCGUACGGGAGUUUAGAACCUUUGCCUGUGCCUAUGGGUAAGUGGGAAGACAUUGCUAUGGAUUUUGUCACUAAACUGCCCAGAACAAAGAAUGGUCACGACAUGAUUUGGGUGGUCGUUGAUCGAUUCACUAAGAGUGCGCAUUUCAUAGCGGCCAGGGAGAAAUGGUCUAUGGAAAAGCUUGCGAAUUCUUACGUGAAGGAAAUUGUGAGGCUUCACGGUGUUCCGUUAACGAUUGUAUCGGAUCGUGAUAGCCGUUUCACCUCAAGGUUUUGGAAAAGUCUACAAGAGGAAAUGGGUACCAAGUUAUGUUUAAGCACAGCUUACCAUCCGCAGACUGAUGGUCAGAGUGAAAGAACAAUACAAACACUUGAAGAUAUGCUGAGAGCAUGUACCUUGGAAUUCCUAGGUAAUUGGGAUGAACAUUUACCGUUGGUAGAAUUUUCCUAUAAUAAUAGUUUUCACUCGAGCAUUAAGAUGGCACCUUAUCAAGCUUUGUAUGGACAGAAGUGUCGUACGCCGUCUUGUUGGCUUGAGGCUGGGGAAAAGCAGUUUAUGGGACCGGAGAUGGUUCAUCAAACUGCUGAAAAGUUGAAAAUAAUUAGGGAAAGAAUGUUAGCAGCUCAAGAUCGUCAAAAGAGCUAUGCUGACAAGAAGCGAAGACCGAUGACUUUUGAGGUUGGAGAUUCGGUUUUGCUUAAAGUCUCGCCGUGGAAGGGACUUAUAAGAUUUGGUAAAAGGGGAAAGUUGAGUCCAAGGUUUAUUGGACCGUUUAGAGUCCUUCAGAGGAUUGGGAAUCAAGCUUACAAGCUCGAAUUACCCGAAGAACUGAAUGGAAUUCACAACACCUUUCAUGUGUGUUAUUUGAGGAAGUUCACGGGAGAAGUUCCCGAUAUAAUUCCAAUUUCUGAAUUGAGAAUUGAUGAGAACAAAAGGUUGAUUGAAGAACCAGAGGCAAUUGUUGACCGAAAGACUAAGAAGUUGCGACGCAAAAUGGUUGGGUUAGUGCUUGUCCGAUGGAAACACACGAAUGGGCCGAAUCUCACCUGGGAGACGGAGAGUGACAUGUUGAGUCGCUAUCCGCAUUUGUUUGUUGAUGUGUGAUUCCGGGGACGGAAUCAUUCUAAGGUGGAGAGAAUUGUAACGCCUGUGUUUCGGGCUUGCCAUUUGUAGCAAUGUAAUAGUCUAGGUUAACCUCUGUAACCCGUUUUGAAAUAAUAAGAUUGUAUUAUUUGAGUAUUAUGUGUUUUGUGCUUAAUUGCUUAAUUAUGUGGUUUGAUUAAUUAAGAAUAAAAAUAAGCGUCAAAAUUUAAGUGUAAAAUAAACUUAAUAUAUUUGGUUAAUGUUGUAGUAGUUGAAACGAGGUUUCCGAAUAUAUAUAGAACGCCCAAAUCUGACUUCGUAUGAGGAAGUUAUGAUUUAUCGAAGUUCCGGCUUAGCGAUAUACAGCCUGUUUUACUCGAUUUGAGAUCGAGCGGUUGUUAGCCGAAGCAAUCUAAAUGAGAAUCGAAGAUCUCAUUGUUGGUAUCGAAACGAUAAAAAGUUAGGCGAGAACGGACGUCAAACGAAGAAGUUAUGAAUUUAUAACGAAAGUUUCUGUCGCGGCCUAUUAAAAAUAAUUAAUAAAAAUAAAGUCAAAAUUAGCCGACGGAGUCUAAACGAAAGUCGUAGAGCGUGGUCUCACCUUCGCGUGGAUAUAAAGAACGUCGAAAACGGAGUUCGUAUGAAGAAGUUAUGAAUUUCCGAAGUUU